GGAAAUGUAGUUCAGUGGUAGAAUAUACACCUCUCAGUGUGAACAGCAUUACCGGUUAAGCUAUUUAAGCCUAGAAAGGUCUCUAUAGCUCGGUUGGUUCUACCGUGAGUGUGUCAGACGGAAGUUCGAUUCUUUCCAUUUCUG
rnacentral:tRNA from 1 species